rnacentral:lncRNA from 1 species
AAAUAGUCAUGAAAUCAUUUUUAUUCUUUAUUUUUUCAUCAUCCAAUCUACAGCAAAUCAAAUGAAAUCUGAAAAGAAGUGAACACUUUGCUAGGAACGAAGUUUCGUAUUUUAUUAGAUUAUCUUUUUUAGGUCAAACAAUAAAAAAUUUAUUCAACCAAGUGUAUACAUGUACAUACUCUAGUCCUUUUGUACUCUACGACUAGCCCUCUUUAGUCAAUACCUAUCUAAGUAGAAUACCAAUUAUACAGGGGAAACUAAAGAAAUUGCUACUUUUAUAUAGGAAAACAAUUCAGACUCUCUAAUAUUUUCAGCCAUUUAUGACAUCUCUGCCCUCUAGUAUGCAACUGGAGGACAAUUUCUCGCAAUUUUUAUGCACUCUCUUGCUUUUCCUGUUGGAACCUUCGAGCAUUUAGUUCAUGCCAGACAUGAUAUACAGUACCGGCAAACAACCAUCUCAAAAUUUCUUGUUUAGCUCUACAGCCCCGCAUUCUUUUAGCCAUCCAGUCUAUUUCUUCAUUCCAUGUCUUUACCUUCCUGGGCUCUCCUAUCCAUCGUAGUAAGGUAGACCAUAUAUGUCUUGAAUAGUUUACAACCAAAGAACAAGUUUGUAAAGGUUUCAUCCUCAUUUGAUUGCAUAAAAUACAUUCUUUAGGAACAUGACCCCCCUACCUUUCCAGUCUAUCAAUUGUAGCCAAUCGUUGUCGAACUGCAAGCCAAAGGAUAAAUUGAUGUCUUGGUAUCAACUGCGUUCCCAUAGUGAGGUUUUUUCAAGGGACCUUUUGGUACUAUGGACAGAGAGAUAAAUAUGCUUUCUUGAUGCUGAAUCCUUCCUUAGUAGCACACUGCUGGAGUUCCACUGCGUUCCCAUAGUGAGGUAUUUCCAUGGGACCUUCAGAUACUUAGUCCCCAAGUUUUACCCCAUACAACCUCCACACACCCCACUUACAUUUUACACUAUACAAAAAGAAACACAUUUUUACAUCUGUCGCCAACCCCUUUUAUCAUCUCAUCCCUCUUAACUUUUGAGAGACCAAGACAGCCGCCCAUCACUCUCUCUUUCUCAUUUUAGAGAGACCAUCAGCUCUCUCAACUCCCAUGACUGUAGUCCUCUUGCCGUCUGCCGGAGUUCAUCACCGGCGAUGGCUGGCAACAACCCCUCUUCUUCUUUACUGUUUUCUCUCAUCUCUCUUUCUCUCUUAUGCUACUGUCAUUCGCUGGCUGGAACUCAGACCACUGUCGUCGACGACUCUUCGAUUUCUCUUCGUUGUGCUUAGAUCUUGUUAGAUCUAGCCGACCUUUGUAGGUUAUAGAUCGAAUCUGGCCAGAGACAUUUUUUCUCGAUGAUUUGUUUUGAGACUCCAUAUUUUUCGGCGACCCAUGUGUUUACCGGCGAUUGCAUAUGUUUUGCUGUUAUUUCCAGUGAGCUCAAUGUUUUUUGGUAACUUCCAUGCUUUCCGGCAGCCGGCAUUUUUGAGAUCUACCAUGGAAAUGCCUAUGACAACAAGCUAAAGCUUCGUUGCAAUGUUAUUUUCAUUCUGACCUUCCAGAUCUGGCCGGAUAUUUCGGACGAAGCUAAAAGCUUAAAUUCCGACAUUCAUUUGUCUUGGUUCUAACUCCAGUAUCUGAUAUUCAUUUUUCUUGGUUCUAGAAAAGGUUUUUCAUCUUUGUUCUUUGAUGAUUAUCUUAUAUUGGGUCUUUAUUACUGUAGAUGUGCUUUUGGGUCUAUGUUGGCGGCUUUGUUACUCUCACGACCCCAAAUUCCCUCUGUAGGAAGUCGUGACGACACUUACUCUCUAAAAUUAGGUAAGCUUAUCAAUAUGCGGAAUAAUUGAAAUAACAACUAAUAAUCUUAAAACUUCAACAAUUGCAUAAAUAAAAUCGGUAACUCAAAUUGUACAAAUCUCCAAAACCUGUUGAAGUAUAAGUCACAAGAUCUAGUAAUAAUUCUGAACAAUUUUAUACAUCACUGUCUAAGAUAAUGUAAUGAAAUAAGAAAAAACAGGAUAGAAUGGGACUCCGAGGCUUGCGGACGUGAGCAGGUGUAUCUUGAAGUCUCCAAAUAAACCUCAGCUCACUAAUGCCAGGACUGAUAGGAAGUACCUGUAUUUGUACAAAAAGAUGUGUAGAAGUGUAGUAUGAGUACUCCACAACGGUACCCAGUAAGUACCAAACCUAACCUAGGUAGAGUAGAUAAUAAGAAACUAAGGCGAAAGAUAUAAUGAUAUACUAAUAAAGACAAUGGAAAUAAAGCAAUAAGGAAAUUUACAAAAAUUAACAACACAUAAUCAAGACAGUUAAUACAACACGGAAGAAAACAAAGAUUAACAUGUUAAGAAAACAAACAACCAAAGCAACUACAGCAAAUAAAGAAAGAUCAGCAAGGGCCACUACCGAGGUACCGCCUCGUAGUCCCAAAUCAUAAAAAUAACUCAUAACGUUUCCUUAUAUCACCGUAGGAGUUUUUAUAUUUACUUUUAAAAAUUAUUUUUUCGAAAUAGCAUCCCGCGUUUUAGCCCAUAUUUUCACACCGCAUGGCUUCUAGUAGUUCCCCUACUAGCCACGUGUAUUGAGUCCACCUUAUCUCACCGCAUACGUUUCAACACCCAGAACUUAUACCACCGCAUACGUAUCAAUAUCACAACUUAUCACAAUUCGGACCUCAAGUGCCCAAAUAUCACAACUUGCCAGAAAACCAAACAAUAACAAAAUUUCACAAUAAGGAGCCCACAGCUCAACAACAAUGUAUACAAGUCUCAACAAUAACAACUGGAGAGUAACUCAAUAAAAUGAUGUCUCACAACUUACAUGUUUCCUCAAUAGGAACCACGGCCUUUGCAACUCAAUACCAAAUUCAACAACAUGAUAUUCCAAGAAUAGCAAUUUCAAGUACGAAUUCAACAGCCAAAUAAAGAAUACAGAAUAAAAGAAAGUAAGUAAUUCAACUGAACAUGGAGGACAAUAAGAGAUAAGACAAGUAGGCAUGGGGAAUAGACUAAUUAUGAGAACUAUAACAUGUUAAAAUAAUUCAAUUAAGGCAUGAAGGAGAACUACAUAGCUAAAAACUGAAUAUUUCACAUUUAGUCCAUAUACGCACUCGUCACCUUGCGUACACGGCUUUCACAUAUCACAAUUAUCACAACAAUACCAAAUCCAAAGGGAAAUUUUCCCCACACAUAAACCAUUGCUCGUCCUCAAGUAAUCAAACUACACUUCACAUAGACAUGACCUUUUUCAACAACUUUCAUCAUACCAAGAAUAUUUAAAACAGAUUAAGCACAAUACCGUAACAUCCUAGCCUCAAGAUUUAACUCAAAAACACCACGCAUUAUUUAUAACCCGCUCACUUACUCUAACACAGAGGUCAACGAUAUUACCUUUCCUUCACGAAUCAAGUGCCCUCACACAACAAUAGAGAGUAGUUCCACACACAAUGAAAUUUAAGAACAAUUGGGAACUCAAUAUUAAAAGAAUUCACUCACUCUCAGAAAUAACAUUCAUAUGCCACAAAAGACGUACCAUAGGCUUGCCCGUAGUGUACUACUCUACUAAUUGAGCUCAUUCAGUCAAGGAUCAAGUAGGACUUUAAUUGGUUUUAAUGUAGGCUGCGGGAUGGGUAGGAUACAUUUAGAUAUAAGAGUAACUACACCUCCCUAAGCACUUUAAUACAUACAUUUAACCAAUCAAAACCCCACACUUAUGUCAAACCAAAACUCCACCUUCGCGUCAAUAUACAUUAACUCCCUACUUCUUUAAGAACAAUUACAUCAAGAGUCACCAUUAUCAAGAAAUAUUUUGUACAACAAUACAACUAUAUUUUUUUUCUUUUCUUUCCUUAUUCAAUUCAAGUAGCUCUUAUUUUUUUUAAACCAGUGCACCCAUCUCCUUAUUUCAUUAGUUCCACUCAAAAGCCAAACCACCACCCCACACUUCAAUUUUUACAAAGUUCAUAACAAAAUCAAGUUCUCACGAGAGGUAUAAGGUUCAAAUAGAUGGUCAAUUCAAACAAAUGGGUAAGGCUUGUACUGUGGUUUCCAAAGAAACAGGAUUAUAGGCUCAAAAUGGUUAACUACGAUACAUAACAAAUAGGUGGGUAAAGUAUAUAACUGGCUCAACAACGAAACACCUAAAUCACUUCAAAGACUGAAUAAAACUACUAUUUCGCUUUGCAAACACACGGGGAGAGUUCUAGACAUAAAAUGCAAUGCACAGAAUAACACAGAACCUCACACGUACAUGGCACAUAACUCACUCAGGAUUGGACUAUCAAGACACUCUAGUCAAAGCAGUUGAGCAAAGUUAAGAUCAUACAAUUUAAGGUACUUAUACAAGAGUCAAAAACUGAGCCUACGCAUCACAACUAAAGCACUCACUAUUCUCAAGGCAUCAUAAAGUCAAGAGAUAUUGUCUUCAAUUCAAUUAAUAGCACAAGGUUUCCUACUCCUAAAAAAUCAAAAUUAACUACACUCGGUUCAAACAAAACCCUUAGAAAAGAACUGAGGCACAAAGAAAACCAAGGGGGAAUUAAUACACUACCUAUAAAAAAGAAAAUCUUUUUGUCUUUUUCUUUCGACUUUCAUCCCUCAAGAAACAUGUCGAUGAUAUCCAUCGUCGGGAAAAAUCAAAAAUUUUCACAUUUUUGUGUUUUUUUUUUCAAUUUUUUUUAUCUCUAACUACUACAACUAACAAAAAUAAAACUAAUAUACAUACAAACAUACAUCCCCCGCCACACAGUGUAAGUUGUGGCAUGUCCCGAUGACACACAAUUAAAAAGCAUAAGGUUAAGGAAACUUUACUGAAUAUCUAGUCGGGGUUUGAGUCGAAGUCGGCUCCAUUGCUCGCGCCCGAACUAAUGCGCACAUCUAUGUAGACAGCUUCUUCUCAGCCUUCUUGGGGGUGCACCCCACACUUAUCUUUUUCGCUCACCGCAACCUUCUCUUUCGAGCCCUUCACUUUCCACUCAACACUCACAGCUGUUUUUUUGUGUGCCCAUUUUUCUACAUUCAUCUCAAAAGUCACAGUCUCCUCACCCACUCUAAGCAUGAGUUUCCUCUCGUGUAUAUCCAAUAUUGCUCUACCCGUUGCUAAGAAUGUUCUUCCUAUAAUAAGGGGAACCUCCUUGUUUUCCUCCAUUUUCACCACUAUAAAAUCCAUAGGAAAUACGAACGUAUCCAACCGAACUAACACAUCUUCCACUAUCCCCUCGGGUAUUAUAGUCGUUUGGUCUUCCAGCUGCAAUAAUAUUGGUGCAGAACUUAUCUCUCCAAUCUCCUUCUCUAGUUUUCGGUAAAUAGAUAGAGGCAUUAAAUUAAUUGAGGCACCAGAAUCACAUAAAGACUUAUCAAAAUUAAUAGUUCCUAAAGAGUAAGGUAUAGUAAAACUUCCUGGAUCUCUACACUUUUGUGGGAGUUUAUUUUGCAAUAUCGCGCUGCAAUACUCUGUGAGCUUGACCACUGAGGUCUCCUCAAUUUUCCUUUUCUUUGUCAGGAUCUCCUUCAAGAAUUUGGCAUAAGCAGGCAUUUGUGAGAGCAAUUCUGUGAAUGGUAAGUUUACAUGAACCUGUUUUAGCACAUCCAAAAAUCUCCCAAACUGCUUGUCCAACUUAACUCUAUAUAGCCUUUGAGGGAAAGGUAUCGCAAACAUAUGCUAGCUCCCAUCAUGUUCGUCCCUUCUCGAAGUUUCUCCCUUCUUCUUUUUCUCAUCUUUCAUCUGACCCUUAUUCUUUUUAUCAACAUCAUUCUUCAGCUGCUCCCCAUUUUCUUUUUCGAGUUUCACAUCAUUUUGGAUUGGGGUGGGAUCUUUCAACACUUGCCCACUUUUCAGAGUUACAACUUUCAUUGUUUCUUUGAAAUUUCUCUCAGUAUCAACGGGGAGAGUCCCUUGAGCCCUCUCAGAUAAUAUUGUUGCAAUAUGUCCCACUUGUCACUCCAGGUUUCGAAAAGAUGUGCCCAACUCUUUGAUAGCUGCUCCAUUGCAUCUAGCCUCUCAUAUGUCUUGAUAAUGAAGGCCUUCAUUAGAUCCUCUAAAGCAGGCUGAAUGGGUUGUUGAGGCUGAAAUUGCUGCCUUUGCUGAUUUUGGUAUGCUGGAGCUCCUUAUCCCUGGGGUCUAGAGUUAUUUUGUUUCCAUGCAUUCGUAGUACCUCCAGGUGAACUCCAUGAAAAUCGAGGUGCCUCUGACCCAUUGCAUUAAAAUUGUAGUUUCCCACAAUAUUUACUUCCUCAAUUGAGGCUUGACACUCAUGAGUAGGGUGUCCUCUUCCACAUAUAUCACAAGCUGCGUGAGGCUCAUUUUGUAUCAAGGCUAAGGUCAGCUUCCAUAUUUCUUUAGCCAUAGUAUCAAGUUGUACCUGCACAAAUGUAUUAGCAUCAACCUGGUGAACACCAGUCGAUCUUCUUCUUUCAUCACUCUCAGAGGGACACUGAUUUGCAUCCUCAGAUAACUCAUCAAGAAUUGUAACUAUCUCCUAUGGAGUUUUCUUCAUCAACAGGCCUCCAACUGCAUUGCCUAAUGUUCUACGCGAGCCCAGUGUUAAUCCAUCCCAAAAGUCCUGGAGUUGCAUCCAGAGUUCAAUUCCGCUAUGUUGACACUUUCGAACAAUCUCCUUAAACCUCUCUUAUGCUUCAAAAAUAGUUUCUGCAUCUUUCUGGUAGAAGUUAUGGAUUUCUUUUCUAAACUUGCCCGUCUUAGCUGAGGAGAAAUAUUUAUCAAGGAAUUUUUUGGUCAUCUCCUCCCAAGUUCUAAUUGAUCCCGUGGGCAAGCUUCGAAGCCACUGUUUUGCAUCAUCAGUAAGAGAAAAAGGGAAUACCCUUAAAUACACUGUAUCUUGUGACAUAUCAUUGUAUUGAAAGGUGUUCAUAAUCUCUUCGAAGUCCAUUAGACGUAUGUUUGGUUCUUCGUUUGGCCUCCCUCUGAAGACACAACAAUUCUAAAGAGUUUGAAGCAACUCUUGCUUCAAUUUAAAAUUAUUAGCUGCAAUUGGGGCUGGUCUAACACUUGAUAAUCCUUGAUUGUAGACCGGUUUAGCAUAAUCACCCAGAGGUCUCCCAAGCAUAGGAGCUAUAUUUCUGAACUGUUCUGCAACCAAGGGUUGAUUCUGAGCAAUUCUACGACCCCUCUCUUCUUCAUAAAUAAUAUGUGCAUCUCUGAUAGUUGCUUCCUCAUCAUCCCGUGCAACUUUUUUCUGUUGUUGGGCUGCCUCUCUUGCAGCUAAAUCUACAUUAUCAUCGCCGUUUCCAGCCAUAGUUUCUUUGAUUGAGGAUUGCCCAACCUUUUCUGAUGUCUCGGUGAGAAUUCUUUCCUUCCUCAACCAUCGCAGUUGUUUUUCUAUCUCAGGAUCGUAUGGUAGCACUUCUUUCACAGAAGCCCGAGUCAUGCACCAACCUUAACUUUUAACCUGCGCACAGUCAAUGAACACCAAUCGUAAAAAGAGAAAAAAUUCUUGAAUUAGCAAUACAAACUAUUUCAAACACUGUUGAUUUCCAAUCCCGGCAACGACGACAAAAUUUGACGAGUGUAAAACACAUACUUAAAUUCUGCUCGCUAAUCAAAUAUAGUAUAGUAUAAAAUCAUAUCCACAUGGAUUGGAUUUAAACAGUGUUCUCGUAGUUUCUAGCUUAGUUGCUAUCCAAGAUGAUCAACAAUUGAGAUUUAUAUGAUUUUUAACUAAAAUUAACUAAGAAUCUAAAGCUAUUGACUAAUGACAAUCGCUACAAGGAACAAGCAAAGAAGGUUAUCAAUGGGAGAAGAUAGGGUUUUGAUGGGAUAAGUGCAAGAUAAUUGUUUGGGAUCUAACUCUAGGUAAUUCACUUCUAAUGUUUAUGUGAGUCUCUUGAAUUCACUCAAUUAUUAGUUCAAACGUUCAGCAAAAACACCUCUCUCGAUUAAGUCUUAACCUUACAAGAUGAACCAAUUUAAGCACGUGAAGAUAUGCAAGAAUGCGUAGUGGAUUGGUCUUUAGGAGAACCUCUCUCGAUUAUCCUCCUAACUAGGUUUAAUCAAUGAUUCAACUAGAAUCUUUCGAUUACUAAGAAAAAUUAAUGAACUCAACCAACAUUAUAAUGCAAAGAACAAGUGAAUAUAGAUGCAACAAUUAAAUCAUCCAAAAAUGCUUCAAUACAUAAAUCUAGAGUUAUAAUCCACAAACAAUCAUCAAUACACCAAAUCCAUCAAACCCUAAAGAGAAUUACUCUAUAGAUAUAGAGCAAUUCAUCACAAAUAAAGUUAAAGUAUAGGAAAACAUAAAUUCAAUCCAAACUCGGGUCUUGAGUGAGGAAGGAAUGAUGAAAUCCUUGUGCUCGUGUUCUUCCAACUCCUCCUUAGCCUCCUUAGGUCGAAUAUGUGUCAAAAGUCCAGAAAAUAACAUUUUCCAUGUAUUUAUACCAAGUAGGGUCGGGCCCAGACGAAACCACCUUCUCCCAGCUGAAAUAGGAUUUUCACUCUGUAAACAUUGCACAGGCGCGCCGCAUGGGGCGACGCGCCAUGCGGGGCAUUAGUGGAGAAAUUCAGAGAGCUGUGUUCUGACAGACAACAGGAAAUUGCACACCCGCGGCGCCCCACGCGUCGCAGCAGUGGGAUUUCUCAGAGUAUGGAUUAAACUUUGAUUUUUGACAUCCAGACUUGGUCCUCGACUCCCGAACACGAUCCCGUCUUAAUCCCUUGGGAUUUUACUCAGACUUCAAAGCUCCAAAUAACUCGAAUUCAUUAAAUAACAUCUACAUAGCUCGGAAUCACUCCUACAAGGCAUAAAACACACAAUAAGUGCAAAACACUAUCAAUUAAAGCUCCAACAUGAAUAAAGUGCAGUGAAUUAGAGUGCAAUAAGUGACUAAAACACGAGAUUGUAGCCUACCAUUAUUAGGCAAGCCACUUACCUCAAACCACGCUAAAUCAAUCAACUAGAAGGCUUUCCCCUUGAUUUUCUAACUCUGAACGGCUCUAAUCUAGCCAAAACAAUUUCAUACUAUAAAUAUAACUAUAGGAUACUAAUUCAAACAAUGAAAUUAUGAUUUUUGCAAAGAAUUGAGAAAUCGACCCAAAAGGUCAUCCCGGACGCGCGUCUAGGAACCCGACCAAAAUUAUAAAAACCGAACACCUAUUCGAUAUCGAGUCCAACCAUACAAGAAUUAUUCAAAUCCAACCUCAUAAAUAGAUUCAUGUGAAUUAAUCAAAAAUGAGUUAGAAUUUCUUACCCCAAAGUCCUCUCCGAAAAUCUCUUGAAAUUUCGCCUCAAACCGAGCUCUCAAAGUCCCAAAAUAAAUUAUGAAAUUAAACCCUCGAAAAUCCCGGUCUCUCACCUGUGGCCAUAACCUCGCAAGUGCAAUCACAUUGGAAGCCUUAAGCUUCAGCAAUUCCUUAAGUCCAAAACUCGAUCUGAUUCCAAUCCGAUUCGCACCUGUGGACCUCGGGACCCAAUCUAGCCAUACCAACAAGUCCUAAAACACGAUACGAACUUAGUUGAAGCCUCAAAUCGUUCCAAACAACAUCAAAAAUAUGAAUCGACGAUCAAAACCUUUCUUUAAACUUUCAAACUUUAAACUUCGUCGAACGCGUCCGAAUUACACUUAAACAUCCCGGAAUGACGCCAAAUUUUGCGUGCAAGACACUAAUAAUGAUACAAACCUAUUCCAAGGCUCAAAACCCCAAACGGACAUCGAUAACAUCAAAUUUCACUUCAAAUCAAACUUAAGAAAUCCUUAAAAUUUAAAAAUGCCAACUUUCAUUGACCCGAUGCCCGUAGUAUACCUCAUAACACAUAUAAACCCGGUCUCAGCCUUCACAAUACUGCAACGAUGAAAGAGAUGCGCAAGAACUCAUAAUCACCCAUCAAAUCAAUAACUCACGGAGUUUCUCCAUUUGGCAAGAACCGUUACCUCAAGAUACACACAUUCUUAUGAUUCGAGUGGAACAAGAGAUAAAAACACAACAUAAUCUGUUUGACUUUUCUAGCACCCAUGUACAACCCACAUAGUGUCUACGGAGCCUAUAAGAGAUACAAAAGAGAGUUAUGAUAGUGUCGGCAACAAGGCCCCGACUAUACCUCAAAACGUGAUAAUAAUAUGAACAAAAGAUACAAUACAUGACCCCGGGAUAAAGUGGGGCUCACCAUUUCUAUUGGGAACAGGAUGUACCACUAUCGCUGAUCAACACUGCCUGCUAUAGAACCACCUGCAUCCAUUUAAAGAUGUAGUGUCCCUGGCAAAAGGGACGUUAGUACUGUCGAAUAGUACUAGUAUGUAAAACUAAGCACCAUCUCAAUAGAAUGAAUAAUAACACAAGGGGGAAACAGUCAUGAGUUCAAUAAGAGCUUCAAACAAUACUAAAACAUCAAAUAAGGAUCACAUAAGUUCUCAAGUCAAUUUUCAUAUUAUUAGGUUGGGUUAUCAUUAGUGUCGAUAUACUAUAAUUCACAAUACCACCAUAUGCUUAUACAAAGUUCGAUCAUGACCCGAUCAGCUAGGUCAUCUCAUUUGAGACAUCAACCAUAACCACAAUUUCAUCAUAAUUUCCAUCACAGUCACCACCAUGUGUGCGACAUGACGUCCGAUCACGGCCCGAUCUACUAGGCCGACUCACCCGAGACAUUACCUUUUUCAGUCAAUCAUCUCACAUUAUACUUCUUUCACAUCCUUUCAAUUCAUUGGCACUAGUGGCCACAAUUAUAAGGUCAUUCUUGGCACUUGGCCGUAUUUCAAAAAUCUAGUUUCCCCUUUCCACAUUCAAAUAUCAUUAUCAUUAACAACAACAAUAAGGCUUCCCAUUCAAGACAUUAAAUUCACAUAUGAGUAAUUUGAGAAUCUUAGGCACAUAGAGGCUUUUUACACAAUUUGGCAUAACAACCUUUAUUUCGGUCUAGACAUGAAGUUUUAACAUUUUUAACCCAUAUUCCAUAUUUUGAACAUGUCCUCAAUGAUAAGGUGAUAUGAUGAAGUGUUUACAAUACAUAUUGAGCAUAUAUCCUUCAACACAAGCACAUUUGGAAUAGCCAAUUCUAUUAUGAUCAAUUUGGGACUUACACCAAUUACAUGAACACCGUGGGAUUCGAUUCUAAGAAGAAGGGGGUUUAGCUAACAUACCUCAAUUGAGCUUCCUUUAAACUUUAAAACAUUCCGGAAUUCUUAGCACUUCGAUCUAUUUUAAAAAUAUAACAUGUUGGACCAAAAUUAGGAAGAUGGUCAUGAUUCUAGCUCAUUUGAGUACAUUAUCAAGCACUAGGUGUGCAUUAAUGUUGUUAAGGCCCUUUUGUGAAAGAUUCCAAUAUUCUCUAACCCAUUCUCUACCAUUUUUAUCUCACAGCCUCCCCACAUUCUUUGAUAACACAUGCAUCCAAGAUAACAACCCCCACACCCAAGAAUUGUCUUUCUAAUUAUCCCCAUUUUUAUAAGAUUUUCGAAAUUAAGAGCUAGGGCAUAGAUUCUUACCUUUAGGAUGAAGACUUUCUUGAUAAUCUUCAAGGAUUGAGCAAGAAUUGUUGGAUAUUAGGUUGAAGGUUACUUCCCCACUCUAAGAACUCUUUCUCACUCCAAAAAUAUCAGAAAUUUUCUCAACACCUAUUGUGACCUCAUGAGAAAAUUUCUGAUGAUUAAUCUAGGGCCACAAUAGAAUUGAUUAAAUGAUUAAUAUGGAUUUUGUGAAGAUUCCAACAAAACAUAGAAAUUCCAACGGAGUGCGUGGUAAUCCUACCACAAAAUCCAUAUUAAUCAUUUUUCACCUCCAUAUUGGAAUUUCUAUGUUUUGUGCCAACCCACCAGGCCGUUGGUGUUCGGCCUUUACUUGCUGGUAAUUCAGACACCUAUCCACAAAGUCUGCCACAUUCCUUUUUUAUGUCAUUCUACCAAUAGACUUCCUUGAGAUCAUGAUACAUCUUUGUAGAGCCCGGGUUCACGGAAUACCUGGAAGUGUGAGCCUCGAUCAUGAUUCUUUCCCAUAGACCAUCUACAUUUGGAACACCUAGCCGACCUUGGUACCUUAGUGUACCAUCAUCUAUUCCAAGAGUAAAAGCCAUAGUUUUAUGUUUAUGAAUCCCCUCCUUCAGUUGUACCAACAAUAGAACGUCGUAUUGCUUCUCUUUGACUUCCACGACGAGCAGUGAUUCAGCCCUAUUUUGCACAAUUACCCCUCCUUCAAUGGAGUCCGCAAGAUGAACUCCCAAGCUAGCUAAAUGGUGAACCUCCCUGGCCAACGGCCUCUGACAUGCCUCCAAGUGAGCCAAACUACCCAUAGAUUUCCGGCUAAGAGCAUCUGCCACCAUAUUGGCUUUCCCCGGGUGAUAUAGGAUAUCGAUGUCAUAAUCCUUGAGUAACUCAAGCCAUCUUCUCUGCCUCAGAUUCAGCUCCUUCUGUUUGAAAAUAUAUUGAAAACUUUUGUGGUCCGUGAAUACAUCCACAUGGACCCCAUACAAAUAAUGACGCCAAAUCUUCAAUGCAAAAAUUACCGCCGCAAGUUCUAAGUCAUUUGUUGGAUAGUUCUUUUCAUGAUUCUUGAGUUGCCUAGAAGCAUAAGCUAUAACCUCGUCGUGUUUCAUUAACACACACCCCAGCCCGAUCCUUGAAGCAUCGCAAUAUACCACAAUCCCAUUUGUACCCUCUGGCAGGGUCAACACCGGCGCUGUAGUCAAUCUUGAUUUUAACUACUGGAAGCUCCUUUCACAAGCAUCGGACCAUUGGAACUUAACUGCUUUCUAAGUCAAUUUAGUCAACGGAGAGGCAAGAUUAGAGAACCCCUCCACAAAUUUCCUGUAAUACCAUGCUAAGCCCAAGAAAUUAUGAAUCUCGGUUGGUGUUGUAGGUCUAGUCCAAUUCUUCACUGCUGCAAUCUUUUGAGGAUCAACCUUAAUUCCUUCUCUAGAGACAACAUGACCCAAGAAUGUGACAGAUUCGAGCCAAAAUUUACAUUUUAAAAAUUUUGCAUAUAAUUGGUGCUGAUGAAGAGUCUGUAAAACUGCCCUGAGAUGAUCGGCAUGGCCCUCUCAACCUCGUGAAUACACAAGAAUAUCGUUAAUGAACACUAUCACAAAAGAAUCGGGCAAAGGCUUGAAAACCAUAUUCAUAAGAUCCAUGAAAGCUGUCGUGGCAUUUGUUAGCCCAAAAGACAUUACCAUAAAUUCAAAGUGCCCAUACCGGGUCCUGAAAGCUGUUUUCAGAAUAUCCUACUCCCUGAUAUUCAAUUGGUGGUACCCGAACCGUAAAUCAAUUUUGGAGAAGUAACUAGCACCCUGUAACUGAUCAAACAAAUCAUCAAUUCUUAGUAACGGGUACUUGUUUUUGAUUGUGACUUUGUUGAGCUGCCGGUAGUCAAUACACAUCCUCAGUGAUCCAUCUUUCUUCCUCACAAAGAGAACCGAUGCGCCCCAUGGUGACACACUCGGUCGGAUGAAACCCUUCUCUAACAAAUCCUUCAAUUGCUCCUUUAGCUCCUUUAAUUAUGUUGGUGCCAUCCUGUAGGGUGGAUUAGAUAUAGGUUGCAUGCCUGGCAUCACAUCAAUCCCGAAAUCAAUCUCCCUGUAUGGCGGAAUCCCAGGGAGCUCAUCAGGAAAUACCUC